UACAGAGGUCCCAAGCGUUGUUCGGAAUUAUUGGGCGUAAAGAGCUCGUAGGCGGUUUGUCGCGUCUGCUGUGAAAACCUAAGGCUCAACCUUGGGCUUGCAGUGGGUACGGGCAGACUAGAGUGCGGUAGGGGUGACUGGAAUUCCUGGUGUAGCGGUGAAAUGCGCAGAUAUCGGGAGGAACACCGGUGGCGAAGGCGGUUCUCUGGGCCUGACCUGACGCUGAGGAGCGAAAGCGUGGGGAGCGAACAGG
rnacentral:rRNA from 1 species